rnacentral:tRNA from 1 species
GCCAGUGUGACAUAGUGGUUUGUGUGUUGGAUUAUGACUCUGGAGACCAGGUUUCAAUUCCCAGCUCAGCCA